GACGUAGGGGGCCAGCGUUGCUCGGAAUUACUGGGUGUAAAGGGUUCGUAGGCGGUGUGGCAAGUCGGGAGUGAAAUCCCUGGGCUUAACCCAGGGGCUGCUUCCGAGACUGCUGUGCUUGAGUGUGGGAGAGGCGCGUGGAAUUGCAGGUGUAGCGGUGAAAUGCGUAGAUAUCUGCAGGAACCCCCGUGGCGAAGGCGGCGCGCUGGUCCGCUACUGCCGCUGAGGAGCGAAAGCUAGGGGGGCAAACAGG
rnacentral:rRNA from 1 species